rnacentral:rRNA from 1 species
ACAGAGGUCUCAAGCGUUGUUCGGAUUUACUGGGCGUAAAGGGCGCGUAGGCGGUCAGCACAAGUCAGUUGUGAAAUCUCCGGGCUUAACUCGGAAAGGUCAACUGAUACUGUGCGACUAGAGUGCGGAAGGGGCAACUGGAAUUCUCGGUGUAGCGGUGAAAUGCGUAGAUAUCGAGAGGAACACCUGCGGCGAAGGCGGGUUGCUGGGCCGACACUGACGCUGAUGCGCGAAAGCCAGGGGAGCGAACGGG